GCAUGCCUGUUCGAGCGUCAUUAUGACCAAUCACGCAAGUGGUAUUGGGGCUUGCCGCCUGGCAUCCCUUAAAAACAGUGGCGGUGCUAUAGGCUCUCAGCGUAGUAAUUAUUCCGCUGUUGAACCCUAGAAACACCCGCCAGCAACCCCAACUUUCUUAGGUUGACCUCGGAUCAGGUAGGGAUACCCGCUGAACUUAA
rnacentral:misc_RNA from 1 species